AUGUAAUUUAUAGGUAACUCCUGGAAGAAGCUGAUUACUUCAGAAAAUGUACCUCUCUUUAUGACCAGCAUGCUUUCUGAAUUUAUUAAACCAAUAUGAACAUGGGAGACUCCAAAACUAAGAGCAUUAGAGAACUCCACUUGACCUGCCAUGUCUUUACUUCUCUGGAUGUGUUUUUGUACAGCACUGAUGCUCAUAGCAUCUCUCCUUACAGCAACUGCUUUGAACUGUGAGGACAGGAGCCUGAAGCCAAUGUUAGUCACCAAGCUACAAAUGGGUGAAGGCUGACUGAUAAGAGAACCAGUCAGGCAGAAGUGGAGGGGCGAUCAGCCCAUGGACCACAUCCAGCCCAUCCUCCAUUUUUGUAAAUAAAGUUUUAUUGCAAUA
ensembl:lncRNA